rnacentral:rRNA from 1 species
GGUGCCGCGCAAGCCGAAUUGAUUAUGGUUCCGCGACCGGACCGCUCGGCUCACGUGCAGUGCCUCGUGGUGACGCAUUUGUUUCCCGUCCGAAGGACGCCGCAACCGAUUGGGAGACGGSCYGAAAGUCGARSSRMSGGCAGGUGGCCGGUGGCGCUUUUAACGGCGUCGUCGGUGUCUAGCCAGCUCCUCACACGGCACGUAUCUCGAUCGUGGUGUCGCAAAGCCCCCCACGGGCUUUUCCGCCUCCUCUGUAAAAGAUGCGGACUGGAUGCGGCAGUGGCUCUGCAGUGCUGCAGGCGCACGGACUGACUCCGUGGCCAGCGGUCUGGAGUCCACGUUGGCCGUGCGGGAUCCGUUGGAGGUUGGUGGUUAGCGGCGAGUAGAUCGGUCACCCAUCCGACCCGUCUUGAAACACGGACCAAGGAGUCUAACAUGUGUGCGAGUCAAUGGGUCUCGAUUAAGCCCAGAGGCGCAAUGAAAGCAAAGGCCGGACUCGACGCCGGUUGAGUUGGGAUCCCCGGGCCUUCGAGCUCGGGGCGCACCAACGACCCGUCCUAUCCGAUUUAUCGGUUGGGCGGAGUUUGAGCAUACACGUUGGGACCCGAAAGAUGGUGACCUAUGCCCGGGCAGGACGAGGCCAGAGGAAACUCUGGUGGAGGUCCGCAGCGGUUCUGACGUGCAAAUCGA